rnacentral:ncRNA from 2 species
UCAUUUCUUCGGGGUCGGGUGAAAUUCCCAACCGGCGGUGAUAGAGCAAAUGCUUUUAAGUCCGUGACCCGUGAGCAGCAACAAGCUCCCGGUGGAUUUGGUGUAAUUCCAAAGCCGACAGUAGAGUCUGGAUGGGAGAAGAAAUGA